UACGUAGGGUGCAAGCGUUUGUCCGGAAUUAUUGGGCGUAAAGAGCUCGUAGGCGGUUUGUCGCGUCUGCUGUGAAAUCCCGAGGCUCAACCUCGGGUCUGCAGUGGGUACGGGCAGACUGGAGUGCGGUAGGGGAGAAUGGAAUUCCUGGUGUAGCGGUGGAAUGCGCAGAUAUCAGGAGGAACACCGAUGGCGAAGGCAGCAGACUGGUCCAUAUCUGACGCUGAGGCGCGAAAGCGUGGGUAGCAAACAGG
rnacentral:rRNA from 1 species